CUACGGGCCGCUCCAGUCGAGAAUCAUUCGCAAUGCGCGAAAGCGUGACGAUGCGACGCUGCGUGGAGGAUGAAGGCCCUCGGGUCGUAAUCUCCUGUCAGGAGGGAAAAGCCGGCACUUGGUCAAUACCCUUGUGCCCCGAUGGUACCUCCAGAGGAAGCCACGGCUAACUCUGUGCCAGCAGCCGCGGUAAUACAGAGGUGGUGAGCGUUGUUCGGAUUUACUGGGCGUAAAGGGUGCGUAGGCGGCGUGCAAAGCUGGAUGUGAAAUCCCGGGGCUCAACCCCGGAACUGCAUCCGGAACUGGCAUGCUAGAGACCAGGAGGGGAGAGCAGAAUUCUAGGUGUAGCGGUGAAAUGCGUUGAUAUCUAGAAGAAUACCGGUGGCGAAGGCGGCUCUCUGGAAUGGUUCUGACGCUGAGGCACGAAAGCGUGGGGAGCAAACAGGAUUAGAUACCCUAGUAGUC
rnacentral:rRNA from 1 species